rnacentral:tRNA from 1 species
GGGUCGUUAGCUCAGUCGGUAGAGCAUUGCACUUUUAAUGCAGUGGUCGCUGGUUCGAAUCCAGCACGACCCACCA